ACAGCACUUUAUUGAAAACAGCCAAUUUUCUAGAAAUUCCCCCCAGCUGAAAAUGAGAAGGACAAAGCAAACUGUAAUCCAGUAGCACAGUGUAUUACUGCAGCUGCGUAUUCAGGAUGUUUAAUUUUAAAAAGAUCAGGUCCCCUUAGCAGGGAUGAAAGUGUGUUUCCACAUCCAGAUUUACCUUGGCGUUGGGAAAAAACUGGAGCUUAAUAACGACGAACACUAAUAAAAGUACGGAAAUAUUUACAGCAUUUCCAUAGGUUGAGGAUUCGGUUGCGAGUUUGGACGGAUUUUGUAGGCUUCAUGUAACGCUGCUUACAUCUUUAAAUUUUGUGGAUGCAUUUGCCACAGCCAUUUUUAGGCAUGUAUUCACUCAUACGGAGAUCGGUCAGGUUUUUUUGAUUGGGCUGAUGUCCUGCCUCUGGACUGUGACGUUUGAUGGCGAGCCUUCCCACUCGGACCCCUUUGAAGGAGUGAUUUUUGCCUGAAUUAACUGGACAGACCCUGUUGCACUCUCCAGUGUGGUAGGCCCAGCUUGUGUCACCACAACAGCUCUUCAGCAGCUCCACACACACACACAUACACAUUCAUUCACUCACAAUCAAAAGAAUAUUAUUUUUUUGAGACUCUGAACUGGACUUGAACUUGAUUUAGCAUAAAACCUUAUUUUCCUGAAUUGCAUAUUUUAUUUUAUUUUUAUUAUUAUUAUUUGCUGAUAAUUUGCACCAGAAGUUUUCUUUGAGAGGAAAAUUUUAAAUUUUGAAAAGAGGUUGUUUUAUACCAAUAUUGAAAUAUUGCUGUUGUUAAAUUUGUAAAUUAACUUUUUGGGUCAAUAACUACUCAUUCAUUUGUCUGUUUAUUUAUCUCUCUUUUCCUCUUUCUACAAUUUCCUAUUAGAUAUUAAAAAGGGUUCUUGUUAAA